UACGGGGGGAGCAAGCGUUGCUCGGAUUUACUGGGCGUAAAGCGCGUGUAGGCGGCUCGGAAAGUCGGGUGUGAAAGCCCUGGGCUUAACCCAGGAAGUGCACUCGAAACUUCCGAGCUGGAGUCCUGGAGAGGAAGGCGGAAUUCUCGGUGUAGAGGUGAAACUCGUAGAUAUCGAGAGGAACACCGGUGGCGAAGGCGGCCUUCUGGACAGUGACUGACGCUGAGACGCGAAAGCGUGGGGAGCAAACAGG
rnacentral:rRNA from 1 species